GGUCAGGGUCAGGGGUCAGGGUCAGGGUCUGGGUCAGGGUCUCAGGUCAGGGUCAGGGUCUCACCGUUGGACAGCUUGUAGAUGACGGCUGCAUUGAACGUGUCUCCGGCUCCGAGAGUAUCGACCAGCGUCUCCGGAGGAAAAGCGUCGGAGUGGAUCAAUAAACCAUCAGGACCCAAAGCGUCCGCUCCGUGUUCUGCCCAGGCACAGACCAGGACGGCCCUGCAGACAGGGGUCAGAGGUCAGGGGUCAGACACAG